UCCCACCAGAACCAGGUGAAAGUUCAAGGCAGACUAAAGAAAGAGCCCUGCCCCAAGCAGCAUCCCUCAGCAUCUCUGGGAGAUGUCAAUGUUAGAUCAGUCUCCCUACGAAGAGGACACUACCCAGAUGGAACAGGGAAGUGGAAGUCUUGCUAUCCCAGCCUGAAAGUGCUGAGGGCAGAUGCCUGUAUCCCUCAGACCCUUCAGAGAUGCCUCAGCUACAGAGAUACCACCUCAAUCAAGUCUGCACCCCUUCCCGGGAGCCCCACAUUCAGUGACCGAUUAAGGUUUUCUACCACCUGGAUUCCACAGCCCAGGAAAAGAGGAAGCAUGCUGGCCUGAGUAAUCUGGAUGGUCCCUGAGCCUUCUCCCAUCAAAAGGCUGGCUUUCCAGGAAGCAAUUAACACCUAAUUCACAAUUGCUGGUAUCUCUGUAUCUGUUCUCCAGACCUGCUGACAGUUCUUCAGCAUUUUAUUGUACAUAUCUUCUUUGGAGGCCUUCCCGGGUCUAUAGUCUGCUGGAAAGAGCAGUUCUGGGCUAACAGGCAGGGAAGACAACCCCUCAGAAGUCCUGUCUAAACUCACUCUGGCAGAAGCCAAGGAAGCAUCUUCAACCUGGGAAGGAAAGUGUAUAACUGAUUAGAACCCAAGAUUGGCAGAGCAGGUGCUUCAAGGUAGCUACCUGGAAACAACAGGUCUCUUCAUACUCAAGUACCAUCCUAUACCCUGACCAACACAUGUCAUGACCUACAUGAGAAUGUCAGCAAGGAGACUGGUGACGAUUGGGUGCGCCCUUUCAGCACUAAGUUCCUCUUCCCCCUCUCCCGGGCCUCCUGCAGACAGUGCUCUUACUUGACCCAACAAGCUCCAACCAGGCUGGGGCCGCUGUGACCCAGGAAAAUGUACCGUCUAUCCUUGGCCUCCAGCAGGUGUGAGAUGGAUCCCAGACGAAUCCAGGGUGCCUACCCCCUGGACCACCCCACUUCUUCACUGCAUGUCCUACAGCCUGUGGCCAGAUGAUUUACUGGCCUGCCAGGGAGGGCCUAUGGCGAAGAGGUAACCUUGGAAUUCUAACCAUUGUGAGUGAUCAAAGCCCAUUCCACUGAGCAGGUGUGUGAUCACCCCGCACCCCCCACCAAGUUACUUUCUCUGUGUCUGGUUUCCUCAUCUGCAACAUGGGGAUAAUAAUCCACCUCAUGGGGUGCCUGUGAGGGUCGCACGAAUUAACAUGUGUAAAGUAUUUAAUAAAUGUCGACUAUCUCUAUGA